GGUUGCUAAGGAGGUGAAGAUAUCUUAGGAGGCGGUCACCCCCCCGGGACAUAAGCUGGAGGAGGAGAACCAGGGAGGAGGCUUGUGAGUGCCAGGCGGCACGGAGGUGAUGAAUGGCAUCUGCUGCUGGGAAUCUUCAUGGACCUGAUCGUCGCCUGGCUUUACUGGUGGAGUCCAUAUGAAGGAGUCCAGGAGUUUCGCUCAUGGAGAUCUGAGGCAUGGAUCCCCAAUGAAGCUGCACACGUCGGAAGGACACGUUGGUACGUGGAACCCCCUGCAGCUUGUGGCUGUCGCAUGCCAGAGUCCUCUCGUCUCCAUGGCUGUGACCUGAAAGCAAAAGGCUAAGGCCCCAUGAAGAAGAAACAAUGCAAGCUCUGUAUGAUUGGGGUCGCCCCAAAGCAAAUAGGCAGCAGAGACGGCACUUGGAAAUGUGAAGUGUAAACCGUAUUCCAACUCAGAGAGGGUCUGUGCGAGAUGUGAGCGGCGGUGGCCCCGCACAAUGUGGUGAAGAACUAGGAUGGUGAUUUAUGAGACAUGACCAUUUUUUGAUGGAGAGAAUCUCUUUGGAGCAGGUGGAUUCAUGCUUCCAUCCAGGAUUACUACAAUGACAACGCAGAAUCCAAUGUCACUUUUAUGCAGUCACUAUUCUGCCAGUAUAUAUUUUAUUAUAACUUGUCUAGGGCUGUGGAGUUGGAGUCGAAGCUAGAUUUGAGUGUUAUUAAUAUUUUGUGAUUAAUUUAUUAACUUUCAUAUACAUUUUGAAAAGUUUAGAAAUGUUAAUCAUAAAUAUAUGUUAUAUUCUAUCCAUUCUAUCCUUAUUUAUCAAAAACAGUGAUCAGCAGGGUGUUCUAAAGAUAAUAGAAAAUCAGUUCUCACCUCUCCUGUGUUCUCUGCUGUCCCUUAUGCCUCAUUCACACAUCAGUGUUCGGUCAGUGAUUUCCAUCAGUAAUUUUGAGCCCAAACCAGGUGCGUAUCUAGACACA